GGGGGGCUUAUUGAUUUUAUAACUUUCCAACCCCUGUGACAUACCUUAAUGUUGCCUCGGCGGAUCAGCCCGCGCCCGGUAAAACGGGACGGCCCGCCAGAGGAUCCAAACUCUUGCUGUUAUUGUAACUUCUGAGUAAAACAAACAAAUAAAUCAAAACUUUCAACAACGGAUCUCUUGGUUCUGGCAUCGAUGAAGAACGCAGCAAAAUGCGAUAAGUAAUGUGAAUUGCAGAAUUCAGUGAAUCAUCGAAUCUUUGAACGCACAUUGCGCCCGCCAGUAUUCUGGCGGGCAUGCCUGUUCGAGCGUCAUUUCAACCCUCAAGCCCCCGGGUUUGGUGUUGGGGAUCGGCAAGCCUUCUGGCGAGCCGCCCCCUAAAUCUAGUGGCGGUCUCACUGCAGCCUCCAUUGCGUAGUAGCUAACACCUCGCAACUGGAACGCGGUGCGGCCAUGCCGUUAAACCCCCAACUUCUGAAUGUUGACCUCGGAUCAGGUAGGAAUACCCGCUGAACUUAAGCAUAUCAAUAAGCGGAGGAA
rnacentral:rRNA from 1 species